CCUUCUAUUGUUUGUUUCCUUUCAAAUAACUUUCAGUUUUUGUCACUUUCCUGGAAAAUAAUUUUAUUGGGAAGUUAAAAUCUUUCAUGGAAGAAAAUGAGCCUCUGCCUGACCAUCUCCGAUGCAAGAGGAUGAACAACAAAAAAUGCGGUGUAAUAGGAUGGUGAUGGACGACAAAAGGCUCUUGGUAAUUCACCAUCUUCAAGGCCACCAUAGACAUCUUCAACUGCCAAUACAGAUUCAGCUCUCUUCAAUGGGAAAAUUAGGACACAAAGCAAAAUUCCCAUUCUCCCUCUCUCGAUUCCUUUAAAAACCAUUCACAACAAGAGAUGGAACCAAAAAUGCCACCAAAAUAAAUGCUUUGUCAAAGAAAUAAUUAAUAAUGAAUAUUCUGGUGUAAAAUUUGGUUUAUUUUUUCAUCACUUCCUUGGCUCCCUUUACUUCACCAGCUCCGAAACCCACCCAUCCAGAGCAUUUGAGACAUGUCUAGAUCUGGGUCCACUCUUCCUCACAAACUUUUUCCCAUACAUCGCUGUAACAGAUCCAGAACAGAUCAAAGCAGAGGUUGGCGGGCUACAGAACCCGAAUAGGAUACUGGAUCUGUUAGAAUACUGACAGUAACUAAUCCAGAUCCACAAACCUGCAGAUACCAAGAAGCACGGUUGAGUUCGAUAACAAGCAAGAUACAACCAUCACUCAAAAACGCUAUGAGCGAAGUCACACGCGUCACCUUUCUUCCCCUUUCGAAAUCAAGACAAGCAAUACCAAAAUAGUGAUACAUAUUCAGUUCCCGUCAAUGGCGAAAUAAGGGCACAUAAAGGGGAAAAAUUGUUGAGAUUGGUGAUAUUGGCGAAGCUUAUAAAGAGAAAGAAAUGGAUUGCGAAUCUGAAGCGUUUGACCAGGCUAUGAAGAAGAUGAUACUAAAGAGAGGGCAUUUGCAGCUCGAGCUAAUAAGAAUCGUGUUGAGAAGAGGAGUAGAGAGAAGAGAAAUAUUAGAAACCGUAGUCUUCCAUCGUUGAACAAGGAUCCAAGAGCUUUUAAUUGCAAGAUUGACUGACUCACACUCUGUUUCGUCUUUGGCUACGGGGAAUCAUGUUUUUCGACUACCCUCCUCAGGGUUUGGCUAGUCUUCUACAGCAUGAUAGUUGUUGGGUUGCAUACCCUAAAAACAUCUUGAUUUACUUUUUGUUCUUUUCUUCUUUUCCCAAAAAGCCAAAAAAAAAAAAAAGAUCUUUUGCUGAAUUAGGCGUUGAUUUAAGUGACGGUGGUUUGUGGUGGUCGUAUAUGUGAGUAACCGAAAGUGGUAAAGGAGGAAGAAGACAAAUCUAUCUCGAGUUAAGUUAGCUCAAGAUAGAGUGGUGAACCGCACAGUAUAUUAUUUUAUUAUAUAAUCCUAAAUCAAAUUUAAAUUGAGUGAUAAAAUAUCUAAAUAUGUAAAUUGGAUGCAAGGAGAUAAAAGUCAAUUUGGAAUGAUAUUGUAUCAGGUCGAUAAAGUUCAGGGUAAAAGAAUUCCCAAGGUUUGCAUCCAUAAGAACGUUACCCUGAGGGAACGGUCUCUUUUCUGCUCACAACUGGAUUACUUCAAAAUCAGUCGGCCAAAAAACAGUUUAAUUUUAUAAGAACUACAGAAUCUAUACUUGUGCAGCUAAAAGUGAAGGAAUCCUAAAUUUGAUAACUUGACGUCCAACAGUUCAGUUCAGAUGAUGAAGAAGACGACAGAUCCAUCAUAUCUCCAACUCAACUUAGCACUGCAUUUUUCCAAAUGAUACAUAUAUCGGAUUUUCCAACUCAGCUCGAAAGAAAAAGGACCAUACCAAAACUAAUAAGCAGCAUGUUUUUCUUGCACAUGACAUUUGAGCUACAAAAAUUUCUUUGGGCUUUAUGCACUCAUCCUUUUUAUAUCACAUAACCCUGUAUUCCUCCAUCUGAUUGCUCUUCUUUCCUUCAAUCAUAUUCUAAUUUGUACAA